rnacentral:rRNA from 1 species
GUACACACCGCCCGUCGCUACUACCGAUUGAAUGGUUAUAGUGAGCAUAUGGGAUCAGUAGAAUUAGACUGGCAACAGUCUUUCUCUGCAGAGAACUAUGGCAAACUAGGCUAUUUAGAGGAAGUAAAAGUCGUAACAAGGUUUCCGUAGGUGAACCUGCAGAAGGAUCA